rnacentral:rRNA from 1 species
GAUGAACGCUGGCGGCGUGCCUAAUACAUGCAAGUCGAGCGAACAGACGAGGAGCUUGCUCCUCUGACGUUAGCGGCGGACGGGUGAGUAAAACGUGGAUAACCUACCUAUAAGACUGGGAUAACUUCGGGAAACCGGAGCUAAUACCGGAUAAUAUAUUGAACCGCAUGGUUCAAUAGUGAAAGACGGUUUUGCUGUCACUUAUAGAUGGAUCCGCGCCGCAUUAGCUAGUUGGUAAGGUAACGGCUUACCAAGGCAACGAUGCGUAGCCGACCUGAGAGGGUGAUCGGCCACACUGGAACUGAGACACGGUCCAGACUCCUACGGGAGGCAGCAGUAGGGAAUCUUCCGCAAUGGGCGAAAGCCUGACGGAGCAACGCCGCGUGAAUGAUGAAGGUCUUCGGAUCGUAAAACUCUGUUAUUAGGGAAGAACAAAUGUGUAAGUAACUAUGCACGUCUUGACGGUACCUAAUCAGAAAGCCACGGCUAACUACGUG